AUGACAUGUCAAGACUGUCAAGGUUUUAUAAGACAUGAAAACCGUCAAUCCAUAUCUGUCAAUAUGUGUUGUGCGUGUCCAGAAUAUUUUCAGGCAUAUGGCAAUGUUGUGCAGACAUUCUGUUGGUUUCAGGCAAUUGAAAGCAGUGAUACAGUCCAAAUUUUGGCAAGAGAAAGGAGUUUAGCAAAGAUGACAGAGGAGGAAUAUGAUGUUGCCCCAACCCCAAGUACGGGUUUGUUAAUUACUCAACAAGUCACAGAUCAAUCUUUUUUUAUUGGUUUGGAGUGGAUAAUCAGGCCUGCUGCACAAUCAUAG
rnacentral:rRNA from 1 species